rnacentral:lncRNA from 1 species
UGUUGGUUGCUUUUGCAAGGAAUUAUUCCAAUAAUGAAAGAAAACUGCUCCCUAAUAAUUCAUACUACAUUCUUAAUCAUUGUUGUUCCAAGUUCUUUUAUUUAUUAAGUUGAUUUUAAAGGAUUAGUAUAUUGUUUGAUAUCUGAGUUAUGUUUUUAUGAUUUUGAUUUAUUUUUAUUUUUAUAAAAUUAUGGAAGUUUUUUUUUUAUUUUUUCAAAAAACUGUUUUUUAAUAAUUUUUUUUUAUUUCUCAUAAGAAUUUUCUUUUAUAAAAUAUUAUGAAAAGUAUAAAAAAUAAUUUUUUAUAUUUUUUAUUUUUAUGAAACAUUAUAAAAAUAUUUUAAUUUUUAAUAAUUUUUAAUAUAUAUGUUUAUUUUUUAUUUAUAAAAUUUUUAUAAUUUUAUUUGUUAGAAUUUUUUUAUAAUUUUCAAAUGGUAACAUCAUUAUGGCAUCAUCGCCACAACGUGUUAGGUAUUGAAUUGCCCACGUUGCAAAUAUUCAUCGGAUAAUAUAAAAAAGUUAGCAUUAUUUAUUCUUGUUGGGAUCGACCCAUAUAUAUAACGAAAUAAUAAAAGUGGAGAAGAACAAACACACAUAUUUUACUUGAAAACUAUCAAAGAGGGAAAAACCAUUGACAAAUGAGGCUUCGACUUUUCACUAAUGAAUAAACAAACAAUAGUACAAGAUGGAGUAAAUAACCUAAAUGUACAACCUGUACAUUACUCAAACCCUAAAUACAAAGCUCAAAAUCCCAAAGAGCAAACCAGUAAACAAAACCCUAAAUCUCAUAGGGCACUCACAAAAGGGGCACAAAAUAAUUUCCAUAAUUACCACGAAACUCUCACCAAAACUCAUAUGUGACUACAUUUUGUCGCCCUCAAAGAAAAAGCCUACGAUUAAAUCUUGAUUGACUUAACCAAAACAGGGAUACAAUGACCCCUUUAAAUAGGCUAAUAUUAGAGUUCUAAUCAUACUAAAAUAUUCUUGGAAUAAUUAGAGUCUAACUAGGAGGAGAAGUAUUACUUGAAGUUUAAAACAUGGCUGCCAAAUAGGAGAACACGUUGUGACGUCGCAACGUCCCAUUCGCCUCGUCAUGACGUCAUCCAUCAUGUUGUCCCGAUGAGGUGGCCCUCAUCGUCCCAACAUUGGGCCUAUUUUGGCCUUUUUUUGGUUGCUCAUCAGUUCUCAUUUAAGAUGCCUCCAACGUGUCCGAUAAAUGUGAGGCAUACCCCACAAAUCUCCACCUUGACUCAUUUAUAUCACGCCUCCUUUUUCAUGCUCGUCACGAGCCAAACUCGAACUUUGCAUAAUGUCAAUUGAGUCUAUAUUGUGCUCGAACUUUGAAACUGAAAGACUUCUAAUCUUUAAAUCAAAGUUGUAUAAUGCAAUAAGGGCCAAUAAUACCCGAAUGGGAGAG